UACGUAGGGUCCGAGCGUUGUCCGGAAUUACUGGGCGUAAAGAGCUCGUAGGUGGUUUGUCGCGUUGUUCGUGAAAACUCACAGCUCAACUGUGGGCGUGCGGGCGAUACGGGCAGACUAGAGUACUGCAGGGGAGACUGGAAUUCCUGGUGUAGCGGUGAAAUGCGCAGAUAUCAGGAGGAACACCGAUGGCGAAGGCAGGUCUCUGGGCAUUAACUGACGCUGAGGAGCGAAAGCAUGGGGGAGCGAACAGG
rnacentral:rRNA from 1 species